rnacentral:rRNA from 1 species
AUGCACGCUGGCGGCGUGCCUAAUACCUGCCAGUCGAGCGAACAGACGAGGAGCUUGCUCCUCUGACGUUAGCGGCGGACGGGUGAGUAACACGUGGAUAACCUACCUGUAAGACUGGGAUAACUUCGGGAAACCGGAGCUAAUACCGGAUAAUAUAUUGAACCGCAUGGUUCAAUAGUGAAAGACGGUUUUGCUGUCACUUAUAGAUGGAUCCGCGCCGCAUUAGCUAGUUGGUAAGGUAACGGCUUACCAAGGCAACGAUGCGUAGCCGACCUGAGAGGGUGAUCGGCCACACUGGAACUGAGACACGGUCCAGACUCCUACGGGAGGCAGCAGUAGGGAAUCUUCCGCAAUGGGCGAAAGCCUGACGGAGCAACGCCGCGUGAGUGAUGAAGGUCUUCGGAUCGUAAAACUCUGUUAUUAGGGAAGAACAAAUGUGUAAGUAACUAUGCACGUCUUGACGGUACCUAAUCAGAAAGCCACGGCUAACUACGUG